rnacentral:rRNA from 1 species
GACGAACGCUGGCGGCGUGCUUAACACAUGCAAGUCGAACGGAAAGGCCCUGCUUUUGUGGGGUGCUCGAGUGGCGAACGGGUGAGUAACACGUGAGUAACCUGCCCUUGACUUUGGGAUAACUUCAGGAAACUGGGGCUAAUACCGGAUAGGAGCUCCUGCUGCAUGGUGGGGGUUGGAAAGUUUCGGCGGUUGGGGAUGGACUCGCGGCUUAUCAGCUUGUUGGUGGGGUAGUGGCUUACCAAGGCUUUGACGGGUAGCCGGCCUGAGAGGGUGACCGGCCACAUUGGGACUGAGAUACGGCCCAGACUCCUACGGGAGACAGCAGUGGGGAAUAUUGCACAAUGGGCGGAAGCCUGAUGCAGCAACGCCGCGGGCGGGAUGACGGCCUUGGGGUUGUAAACCGCUUUCGCCUGUGACGAAGCGUGAGUGACGGUAAUGGGUAAAGAAGCACCGGCUAACUACGUG